GGCCCUCUGGCGCAACGGUAGCGCGUUCGACUCCAGAUCGAGAUCCUCCAGGUCUUCGAGUUGCCAUCGAAAGGUUAUCUGUUCAAAUCAGGUGGGGGUCA